GUUUCGCCUUCCGCCGCCAGCGCCGCAAUCACCAGCGACACCGAGGCGCGCAAAUCCGUCGCCAUCACCGGCGCGCCCUUGAGCUUGGCGAUGCCGUCGAUGAUCGCGGUCUCGCCAUCGAGGGAGAUACGNNNNNNNNCGCCAGUUCCUGAACAUGCAUGAAACGGUUUUCAAAAAUUGUUUCGGUGAUGUGCGACGAG
rnacentral:misc_RNA from 1 species